rnacentral:rRNA from 1 species
UGGGGAAUUUUGGACAAUGGGCGCAAGCCUGAUCCAGCCAUGCCGCGUGCGGGAAGAAGGCCUUCGGGUUGUAAACCGCUUUUGUCAGGGAAGAAAUCUUCUGAGUUAAUACCUCGGGAGGAUGACGGUACCUGAAGAAUAAGCACCGGCUAACUACGUGCCAGCAGCCGCGGUAAUACGUAGGGUGCAAGCGUUAAUCGGAAUUACUGGGCGUAAAGCGUGCGCAGGCGGUUUUGUAAGACAGAGGUGAAAUCCCCGGGCUCAACCUGGGAACUGCCUUUGUGACUGCAAGGCUUGAGUGCGGCAGAGGGGGGAUGGAAUUCCGCGUGUAGCAGUGAAAUGCGUAGAUAUGCGGAGGAACACCGAUGGCGAAGGCAAUCCCCUGGGCCUGCACUGACGCUCAUGCACGAAAGCGUGGGGAGCAAACAGGAUUAGAUACCCUGGUAGUCCACGCCCUAAACGAUGUCAACUGGUUGUUGGGAAGGUUCCUUCUCAGUAACGUAGCUAACGCGUGAAGUUGACCG